CGUCCGGAAGGGAAGGGUUGUUUGGGGUUUUUUUAUUGUAGGUGCAAGGCGAAAGGGGAAAGCUGCGCAGCCUAAAAAAAGCAUCACGGCUUCCUCAGUUCCCAGUGGGACCGGUAACGGCAGCGCCAGUCCCCGGGGGCGGCGGGGAGGGGCUGCAGCCCCUUCCCAGGUGGUUCUGCGGGGGAAGCGGUUCCUCCCUCUGGAGGGCUGUGGCACUUCAGAGUUUUCAGAUGUCUAGAAAUUUUCCAAUGGAGCCACAUGUCCACAUAUGGCAAAUUUAAGCCAAGUGAGAAGAGUUUUAGUUACUGUUGUCAUAUGUUGGGCAUGAUCCAGAUAAAACAAUCCAUGGAUGACAGCUUAAAAUGCAACAGAUCCAUCCUGACAGCCUGUACAUCAUAAGUGAUGUUUUAGCCCAGACUCCUCCAGUAACUAUUCACAGAUUAUUUUUUUCAUGAAGAAAGGAGAAGAAUCUUUUGUGGAACACUUCUUUCUGCAGUACAGGCAGGUACUGUAGUAAGUAAGGAUGCUAAUAAAGAACAUACCAUGGGCACAGAGAGGACCACGCAAAAGGUCUGAGCAAAGAGCUACAUAGCAGGAAUCUCUUUGCAGCUGAUUGUGGCAGCCAACAAAUGACCUGUGUUCACUGUGAAUAAAGUUACAGCUUAUACAUUGGCAAACAAAAUCCUAGUGCAGAAUCAGAAAACACACGCUGCUAAACAAAGCUGAUUUAUAAGAGCUCUUGGACACAUAAUAUUUAAUAUUUGAGCAUAUGCUUUAACAUUUCUGCAUCACACUAGAAUGAACAUUUUUCUUUUCAUUCAUCUCACUGUUCUGAAUGAAGUGGGUUAAUUCUGGAGAUGGGAGGACAGCCAAUGCUGCCUGAUUACCAGACUGAUUUAGCAGGCAUUUGUGUAUGGGUAAAGAACAUAAUUUCACACACACCCUUGUGUAUAAUACUACCUGUUGCCUGGUUAGAGGCAAGAGCACCACACCACACUUUCUUAUGUCAUGGGAACCCAAAUUAAGUAGUCAUGUUUUGCAAGCUUCACUCCUCUUGCCACACAAUCCUCUGCACUAUGUGAGCAUACAACAAAUUUCAUCACAGAGCUGGCCCAUAUCAACACAUUUUCUUGUUCUGAUGAGGUUCAUUGCCAAAAAUGCGUAGGGAAUUAAAAACAAUCUAUCAGGUCCUGACAUUGGAAUCACAUCUUAACAGGCACUGAACUAUGGGACCUGAGCAUCCAGUCGCUAAGUCAUGGUGAUACUUAGUGCUGGCAUAUUCCUCUUCCAAUAAGAACUUGUCCCUCUCCUAAUGUUUGAGAAACACCAGAGCUGCUGGUUGUAUUUGCUGUGUAGUUUGUAAAUACUUUGGACAGAUGUUAAUGCAGCACGUCUCAGCCCCUCACCCUCACAAAACAGGACUUGGCACUUCUCCCAGAUGAAAUGAAUAGGACACCAGUGGGUAAUAGUUUGUCACUUUUACAAUUCCUCUAUUUUUAAAUCUGCUAAUACAUGGAACUAGAAUUCCAUAACCCUCCAUUAGAUAGUAAAAAACACUCAAAGGAAAUGCACAUAGUAAAUGAAAAUUCAGAAUGUCACUUAGUCUUCUGUGUUCA